rnacentral:rRNA from 1 species
AUUGAACGCUGGCGGCAUGCCUUACACAUGCAAGUCGAACGGCAGCACGGGAGCAAUCCUGGUGGCGAGUGGCGAACGGGUGAGUAAAGUAUCGGAGCGUGCCCAGUCGUGGGGGAUAACGGAGCGAAAGGUACGCUAAUACCGCAUACGAUCUAUGGAUGAAAGCGGGGGAUCGCAAGACCUCUCGCGAUUGGAGCGGCCGAGAUCAGAUUAGCUAGUUGGUGGGGUAAAGGCCCACCAAGGCGACGAUCUGUAGCUGGUCUGAGAGGACGACCAGCCACACUGGAACUGAGACACGGUCCAGACUCCUACGGGAGGCAGCAGUGGGGAAUUUUGGACAAUGGGCGCAAGCCUGAUCCAGCAAUGCCGCGUGCAGGAUGAAGGCCUUCGGGUUGUAAACUGCUUUUGUACGGAACGAGACGGCCCUUUCUAAUACAGGGGGCUAAUGACGGUACCGUAAGAAUAAGCACCGGCUAACUACGUGCCAGCAGCCGCCGUAA